AGAUUAAGCCAUGCAUGUCUCAGUGCAGGCCUUUAUACGGUGAAACCGCGAAUGGCUCAUUAAAUCAGCUAUGGUUUAUUGGAUCGUACCCGUUAAAUGGAUAACUGUAAUAACUCUAGAGCUAAUACAUGCCAUGAUGCCCUGACCUCGCUAGCUGCCACAGUGGUUAGUUGGGGGAUGGGUGCACUUAUUAGAUCAGAAGCCAACCAGUACAUGCGUUUGCACUCUUUAAUGGGUAAGAGCGUAUGGACUGUAGUACUUCUGGUGACUCUGGAUAAUUGUUACAGAUCGCAGUCGGCCUUGAGUCGGCGACGGGUCCUUCAAAUGUCUGCCCUAUCAACUUUCGAUGGUAGGUGAACCUGCAGAAGGAUCAA
rnacentral:rRNA from 1 species